rnacentral:rRNA from 1 species
CACCUGCGCCACGAGUGGGAACCACAAUUAUUGGGCCUAAAGCGUCCGUAGCCGGUCAAGUAAAUCUUUUGUGAAAUCACCAGGCUUAACUUGGUGACGUGCAGGAGACACUGCUCGACUUGGAACCGGGGAGGAGUUGGAAGUAUGAUGGGGGGAGCGGUAAAAUGCUAUAAUCCCCAUUAGACUACCUGUGGCGAAGGCGUCCAACUAGAACGGAUUCGACGGUGAGGGACGAAAGCCAGGGGAGCGAACCGG